rnacentral:rRNA from 1 species
AAGAGACAGCAGCCGCCACGGGAAUACAGAGGGUGCGAGCGUUAAUCGGAUUUACUGGGCGUAAAGCGUGCGUAGGCGGCUUUUUAAGUCGGAUGUGAAAUCCCUGAGCUUAACUUAGGAAUUGCAUUCGAUACUGGGAAGCUAGAGUAUGGGAGAGGAUGGUAGAAUUCCAGGUGUAGCGGUGAAAUGCGUAGAGAUCUGGAGGAAUACCGAUGGCGAAGGCAGCCAUCUGGCCUAAUACUGACGCUGAGGUACGAAAGCAUGGGGAGCAAACAGGAUUAGAUACCCCUGUAGUCCCUGUCUCUUAUAU